rnacentral:miRNA from 1 species
AUCUUUAAUAGCGGGUUGGUU